UCGAGUUAGGGUCUUCUCAGGCCCGACCUCCCAACCCUUUGUCGAACUUACCACUUGUUGCUUCGGCGGGCCCGUCUCUCUGCUCACGCGGAGGGGCCGCCGGAGAACCGUCACACGUUCUCUGGCCCGCGCCCGUCGACAGCCCAAUUUACCAAACUCUGAACAAAACGUGUCACGAUCUGAGUAUCUAUUUAAAAAUAAAGCAA
rnacentral:misc_RNA from 1 species